UCAGACAUGGUGUAGUGUGGACAUGGCCUCUAGUAAUAAUCACCUCUGGGAUUAUAUCAGAGGCAGUCCGGGGUUCGAAACCCUGUAUCUGAA